CUUUUACCUGCAGCGCAGCAACACAAAACACAGAGAUUUCAGCCGUCACUCAGGUGAAGGCCAGAAAAUUAGAACAAAAAAAAAGAGGCUGAGGAGAGAAUAAGGUGAUAUUAUCGAUUGUAAAGCUUCAAGACAAAACUAUGCGAGAGACAAUGCUGCAAUUCUGCACAACAGUAAAGAUUCAAGGAGAAACGUUGCCGUCAAAGUCCUUCUCUAACUCCUCCUGGCUCUGAUCUUGGUCCUUGUCGUCUUCGUCCUGCUCCAAACUAGGCUCCAGCUCGGUCUCCUGCUCGUCCCCAGAGGGGCUGUGCAGACGCCGCUGGUCGCUGAUGCUGCGGUGGGACAGGCUGUCGUGGUUCUCGCACAUGGAUGACACCGGCCGGGAUGUGAACUCUGCUCGGCGGGAGGAGUUGUGUUAAAUUUGAGGAGACUAAACCUGGUUUCCACCGAUAGACAUUCGCACCUCCAUCCAAGCUCCGGGACAGCAGGUACCGCUUGCUGGUAGAACGCUCAAAGUGGGGAGCGGGACGGUCGAUGAGGGCGCUGGCCUGCCGGGUUUGAGCCUGCGUCCUUCCACUGUACCGGAACUUUGAACCCAUCACCAGGAAACCUUUGGGAGGAGGUUCUGGAGACACCAGCCUGCAGAGGGAGGAGCUGGAAGUUACACUUACGUGCUAUCAAAUAUGUCAUUUGUUGAUUUUUAUUUGGAAUUUUUUUAGUGAGUUAUUUUUUUUUACAUUUUUAAAGGACAAACACUAAUAAGCUUUUCUGUCGCAUUUUUGAAAAAAAUCCUGAAACUGAUGAAACCGAAUCAGUUCUAUCCGAAAGCCCCAUGAAUACUUUUUUUUCCAUCCAUUUGUGUUCUCCUCCACAUCACAGAUAAACCGCCCCGCCUGCUGCGCCCUCUGCUCCCUUUCCUCCAUCCUCCACUCGGGUUCCUGAUCCAGGUGUGCAGACUGGGGAGAUGCUGCACACCUGCGGCUCAGUUUUUUGAAGGCAGCUCUGGCUCUCCUCCAUGAUUUAUGUGUUGGCUGUUGCUGCUCCUCACACAAAUGUGAAAAACCUCAACAACAAACAAUCCGGCUACAGAUUCUGAGGGGUUUUUUAAAGGCACACACCGAUUAAAUUGUGUUUCUGA